AUUGAACGCUGGCGGCAUGCCUUACACAUGCAAGUCGAACGGCAGCACAGGAGCAAUCCUGGUGGCGAGUGGCGAACGGGUGAGUAAUAUAUCGGAACGUGCCCGGUCGUGGGGAUAACGUAGCGAAAGCUACGCUAAUACCGCAUACGAUCUACGGAUGAAAGCGGGGGAUCGCAAGACCUCGCGCGAUUGGAGCGGCCGAUAUCAGAUUAGGUAGUUGGUGAGGUAAAGGCUCACCAAGCCGACGAUCUGUAGCUGGUCUGAGAGGACGACCAGCCACACUGGGACUGAGACACGGCCCAGACUCCUACGGGAGGCAGCAGUGGGGAAUUUUGGACAAUGGGCGCAAGCCUGAUCCAGCAAUGCCGCGUGCAGGAUGAAGGCCUCGGUUGUAACUAGCUUUGUACGGUAACGAAACGGUGAGCUCUAAUACAGUUG
rnacentral:rRNA from 1 species